AUUGAACGCUGGCGGCAGGCCUAACACAUGCAAGUCGAACGAGGGGCGGAAGGGUGAGUAAUGUCUGGGAAACUGCCCGAUGGAGGGGGAUAAAUACUGGAAACGGUAGCUAAUACCGAAUACCAUCGGCAGUGCACAGAUGGGAUUAGCUAGUAGGUGGGGUAAAGGCUCACCUAGGCGACGAUCCCUAGCUGGUAUGAGAGGAUGAACAGCCACACUGGAACUUAGACACGGUCCAGACUCCUACGGGAGGCAGCAGUGGGGAAUAUUGCACAAUGGGCGCAAGCCUGAUGCAGCCAUGCCGCGGGUAUGAAGAAGGCCUUCGGGUUGUAAAGUACUGUCAGCGGGGAGGCGUUACCCGCAGAAGAAGCACCGGCUAACUCCGUGCCAGCAGCCGCGGUAAUUC
rnacentral:rRNA from 1 species